rnacentral:rRNA from 1 species
CAGUCGCCGCGGGAAAACGUAGGUGGCAAGCGUUGUCCGGAAUUAUUGGGCGUAAAGGGCUCGCAGGCGGUUUCUUAAGUCUGAUGUGAAAGCCCCCGGCUCAACCGGGGAGGGUCAUUGGAAACUGGGAAACUUGAGUGCAGAAGAGGAGAGUGGAAUUUCACGUGUAGCGGUGAAAUGCGUAGAGAUGUGGAGGAACACCAGUGGCGGAGGCGACUCUCUGGUCUGUAACUGACGCUGAGGAGCGAAAGCGUGGGGAGCGAACAGGAUUAGAUACCCCUGUAGUCCCUGUCUCUUAUAC